ACUACUACAGCCACAGACGCGGACUUCAUCAGCUCUCCAGCGCAUAGGGAUGAAAAAGCCUUUUUGAGGGAGUCUCCCAUCUCCAGAGCUUAACUUGCAAGUGAACAGCCGUCGAGAAAACAUACAAAUCUCAGGAGCGGGGGAAAAGUCUGAGGCGAACCCUCUCCACACAGACAGAGCCCCGCCCCCUCCCCUUCCCCAAGAAAAGCGCGCGCUUUUGGGCUCCUCGCGCAGCCCCUCAGACGACAACGACGACGCCCCGCCCCUCGGCAGCCCCUCUCGCGCGCUCGCCUUCAGUCACCUGAGCUCCAGAGCAGCGGCCAAAGGAGGGAGAGCGCGGCACGCAUCCCCUUUGAUGUUCAAACUAUUCCUAAGAGCUAUUGUUGAAGCCUGAAUCACCAGAAGAAACAGCAGAGAUGACGGCCACCCCUGCCUUAUUUCCCUUCAGAAGGUACACAAUGGAGACUGCAGAUUAUUAACUAUCACUAUACAGCACGGAGAAUGCUCAUUCAGCUCCACAAGGUACAUGCAAUCUCCAUUGAAGCAGUAAUUGUUCAUGUCAGACUUGCAACCUGUGAUCCGAACUUGAGCUACACGGGGACUUUUUUCUGUUCGAACUAAAGGAAGAAACGAAAGAUAAGUAUGGUCAAAAUUUCCCUCCUUACGUAACAGUAAAGUACAAUCAGAUCUACCGUAAGAGCUGGUUUGGGUCUCGGUGGGGAAAUGGUGUGGGGGAAGUUAUCCAUGGAAUUGCAGUGGAGGAUCUAAAGAUUCCUGGAAAGAACACUUCUCUUGGCCUUUAUAGUGCGAUUCAACUCCUGGUGACAGUUGAUAACGAAGUCACACUGGAUGGCCUAGAGCAGAGCUUUCCAAACUGAGUGUUGUGACAUAUUAGUGUGUUGACUGCAUAGUGUGUAGGUGUGUCUCACAAAUGUAAUGUGAAGCCUCUAAGUCUAUGUAAAAUAAGCAAUAAAUACAUUUAAAAUAUAUAAAUGAAAGGUUUUCAUGAGCUAUAGUAUGUUUUAUUAUUGUUAUUACAUUUUAUGUAUGUGUCUGAAUCUCUUAUAAGGGGUUGGCUUAACUUUCAGUUUGCUAGUAAAACUGAAUGACUGUAUCGCAAAAAGAUACAUAUCUAAAAUGAGGGCCACCAACAUGAAAUCUUUGGAAAACAAUGAACUAGAAAUUCCUUGAGAGGUGUUCUCUGAGGUACAAAAGUUUGUAUAUUUUUCAUGUUUUUUUUCUAAUUUCCUAGUGCUCCUGUACUCCUAAUCCUAGUGAAUGUGGAGGACCCACUGUAGUGUCACCAAAGUUGACACCAUAUAACAGAGUAGCUUUAUCAAAAAGAGUCCUUGCCUCGAGGAAAAUGCAGUUCAUAUCUUGAGAAAAAGAAGACAGAGUAAGAGAUGGGGAGGCAAGAGGGAAUGCUAAUAUCUUUACAUGUACUUAGUUAAUUUAAGACAUAAACGUACUGAGAGAGCCCAGGCAUACUCUGAUAAUAUUAUAAAUCCUUCAUUGACUGUUAGAAGUCAUUCAAACUCACCCCAAGCAGUUGUACAGUUAGUCCCAUUGACUCCACAUAUUGGGAUCACAGUUGUACUGAGCACAGAUUGGAGCAGCUGCAAACCUGAAGAGGGGAAAGAAAUGUCCAUUUAAAAUAAAAACAUAGAGAAAGGAAGCAAAUUCCUAAAACCUUCCCAGCAUUGAAUAAUCCAGUUAUUCUGCCUGGUCAGUGGUUUCGUACCAUUCUGCUCCAGCUGAAAGUAGGCACAACAGGAUGUUUCACCUGUGUCAAUGCCACUCCUGUUGGCCAUUCAAAUGCUAACACUGCUUCUAUCAACCCUGAUAGAAAGCUGAUUCAUCUGUCUGUUGUUUACUCUGGGUGGGUGGGUGAAGUGAAAGUGCAAAACAGAAAUGGGUGUGGGCGUGUGCGAAAGGGGGGUAUCAUACAGUGGACCUGCCCCAGGAAACCAGAGCUAAGCAGGAUUCCCCGGAGUUUACCCAUCGAAACUCCCCACUAGUUUGCAAACAUGCAUUUUCACUGUAUUCUUCUUUGCCGCAAAUACACACAUAUGCUUGGAGUAGUGGGUACCAUUACCUUUCAUUGAUCUUCAAGAAAUACACAAAACUGAUUUUAGCAUGGACAUAAUUAUUACUGAGGAGAUGGGAGUUAUGGAAUGCAUGGACUGGAUUCCUUCAUCACUUUCAAGGUUGCAAUAGGAUCAAAUCCACAAAUCCAAGUAGGACCUGCAGCUUCAUCACACUAGAGCAUGGAUCCACUUUAAAUCCAGUUUCUGCCUUCAGAAUUCUGGGGUGUGUAGCUUAGUGAAGUCCAGGACCUGCCUGGCUGAGCAGUUUAAAGGCCCCUCCCUAAACUACAAGCUCCAGAAUUCUGCAGGAGGCAGAAACUGGAUUUAAAGUGGAUCUAUGCUAGUGUGAUGGGGUCCCAAGAGUGUGAGCAAUGUACCUCAAUCCACUUUUGUGGACCUUGUGCCUCUAGGCUCUAUCCCAGGCUCUUUUGGGUAAGUACAGAUACAGUCCCUGCUGAAAGGAACUGUAUUUCAGAAAUAGUCUCCAGUAAAUGAAUACCAGUGUGGCAGAGUGGUUUGAGUGUCAGACUGUGGGCCUCAUCACAUGGGGCAAUUGAAGCAUCCUAGGAUGCUUUUACCCUGGUUAUUUAUUUCAUUUUUCUCUGUCUUUUUUGAUCCAGGUAAGGACUCAAGGUGGCUUACAAAUCCAGCAAAAAUUCAAUGCUGCACAGGACAUCUUUUGCUAGUUUUCCAAUGAAUCUCAUUGAGUCUCAACCAAUUCAACAUAGUGGCAGCCACAAAAACAAAGUUUCUGGAGUAUAACAACUAUUUUCAAAGCAGUGCUUUUCCACCACAAGGGAACCACAGUCUGGCACACACAGUGGACCAGGCUUACAGGUAAUUCUUGUUCAAGAGGUUGCCUAAUGGACUUACCAUCUUUCUCUUUUAUGACUUUGCAGUUGACCGACAAAGGAAAGGCACAAAGAUCAUAUAGUAUGAAACCUUGGUUAAUCCACAAAUUGUCAAAUAGUUUUUCAAGUGCCCAUGAACAUGGCUUUAACUGCUGUCAGUGGGGAAGACUGGCAUUUAGUUCAUGUAAUAUAGAACACACAAAAAGCUGUUCCGCAGAUCUGAUCAUCAUCUUGGCUCUUUCACUGAAUUUAUAGAGUGGAGCAAUACAAUACUCCCGGAAAUUGAGGAUUUGCCCCAUUAUUUGUUUUCCUGCUCUUUGUAUUCGGAGCCAAGAGCUAAAAUCCUGGGGCCUAAUCUGUAUCUUGUGCAAUCCAAUACGGUUCCAGAAAAGAUUUUCUAUCUCUUGGCUGACACUAAUCCUGUGGUUACUCACAAGGUGUCACAAGGUGUCUCUUUUUGCUCUGGCAGCAAUGAAAAUCCCAGCAAGAUUAAUUUCUGAUAUUGCAGUUUAGUGUUCUGGGGAUACUUUUACCUAAUAAUAGUGUGGUUGUCUAUAUCCAAAGUGUUUCUUGUUUAAGUUUUAAUAAUACUGAAUUUUACUUGGUUUUUAACUAUGCAAGAGCUAGUUCAUAUAGUAUUUUAUGCAGUAUUUUAAGGGUGCUUCUCGCCAUGACUUUAAGUAGCAUUUUAAUGGCUUAUGUAGUAUUGUAAUGGUGUAUUUUGUAUUUUAUUUAAUAAUAUUUUAAAUGUAUUUAUUUGUUUGUGCUGUAUUUGAAAGACUUAUGGUCUAAGCAUUAAAUAAACUACUUCUACAUCUGAAUAUUCCUAGUACAUCUAAAACCUCAGCACGUUUAUUGCGUAGUAAGUGUUAUUAGUUGGAUCCAAAUUUUGUCACAUAGAAGUCAAUGGAAAUUAAAUUAAUCUAGAAUCAUGACUAGUUUUGCCCAUGGAUAUCAAGGGUUGUACUCUAAGAAUGUUUAAAUCGAUGUCCAACACAUUCUGUCGAUUUCAAUGUUUUUCAAAGGUGUUAGGUGGCCAUGAGGGUGGGGUGUGAAACUGGUCUUAGUCUGAACUUCAAAGUUGCUGUCCAAAGUGCUGAAACUAUUUUGGAGAUAGGAUUCAGCAUGUAGCAUAGCUCCGUUCAGACUGAAAUUCAGGCCAAACAUAGUAUUGCCAAUUCACAUCUAAAGCCCAGUGUGGCCUCACUGCCCUAAUGCUUACAAACCACUGUCUGCCACUAGAGGGUUUGCUAUAAACAUACCUAAAUAUGGAUCCAUACAAUCUGCUCACUGGAAUUUGCACCUGAGUAAGUGUGCCUAGGAUUGCAACACUUAGGAAAAGAACAGCGGUCUCUUUCUAGCAGAUGAGCUGUCUUGGUAUGUAAUUAAUGUAUUAUUUAAAUGUCAUACUAUCUCAGUCCACUGGCUGUGAUUCCCAUCUUACUAGAAUGACUUCAUUCAGCAAUAGACACCAAGUAUACUUCUCAUGAGGAUAUAGAAGAGGGUUUCUGUCUACUGAGCAAUCUAGGCGGAUGUUUUGAAAAACUGUUAUAAAAAUGUAGAGUGGGACCCAAGACCUAUUUUCUGUGCCCACAUCUCAGUACAUCACAUCUCAUCCUGUUUUACAGGGUUCCUCAACUAUCUGUCUAGCAUUUCCAGGAGAUGGAAGAGGCCAGAAGGAAGAAAGAGUGUUGUUGUGUGUUUUCCAGGCUGUAUGGCCAUGUUCCAGAAGUAUCCUCUCCUGAUGUUGGCCAUGUAUGGCCAUGUUCCAGAAGUAUCCUCUC